rnacentral:rRNA from 1 species
AGUUUGAUCCUGGCUCAGAUUGAACGCUGGCGGCAGGCUUAACACAUGCAAGUCGAGCGGUAGCACGGGGGAGCUUGCUCCCUGGGUGACGAGCGGCGGACGGGUGAGUAAUGUCUGGGAAACUGCCUGAUGGAGGGGGAUAACUACUGGAAACGGUAGCUAAUACCGCAUAACGUCGCAAGACCAAAGAGGGGGACCUUCGGGCCUCUUGCCAUCAGAUGUGCCCAGAUGGGAUUAGCUAGUAGGUGGGGUAAUGGCUCACCUAGGCGACGAUCCCUAGCUGGUCUGAGAGGAUGACCAGCCACACUGGAACUGAGACACGGUCCAGACUCCUACGGGAGGCAGCAGUGGGGAAUAUUGCACAAUGGGCGCAAGCCUGAUGCAGCCAUGCCGCGUGUGUGAAGAAGGCCUUCGGGUUGUAAAGCACUUUCAGCGAGGAGGAAGGUGGUGAGCUUAAUACGCUCAUCAAUUGACGUUACUCGCAGAAGAAGCACCGGCUAACUCCGUGCCAGCAGCCGCGGUAAUACGGAGGGUGCAAGCGUUAAUCGGAAUUACUGGGCGUAAAGCGCACGCAGGCGGUUUGUUGAGUCAGAUGUGAAAUCCCCGGGCUCAACCUGGGAACUGCAUUUGAAACUGGCAAGCUAGAGUCUCGUAGAGGGGGGUAGAAUUCCAGGUGUAGCGGUGAAAUGCGUAGAGAUCUGGAGGAAUACCGGUGGCGAA